UAUCCACCUCGGUCCAAAUAUCACGCAACCAACACACAGCAAGCAGGAAAAAAAAAGAACCCAAUCUCUUAUCUCCCCACCACCUCUCUCCCCGAUUCACAUCUCCCACCCGAGCUCCACCACAACGCCGCUGCCGCCGCCGCCUCUGAUUCGAGGAAACUCCGGUGCUCCCCUUCACCACGCCUCACCAGCUCGUCCCCCCUCUUGUUCUCCUCUGGCCCCGCCCCCAACCCCCACCGCCACGACGUCCUCCACGCCUCUGCACGGCGCGACGGUUCAUUGUUGUAGCUCAUGUGCUCGGCCCAGCAAUCCCACUUCCACACGCGAUCGGCUACCGGCUAGGCUCGAUGGUGCUGUUCCACCUUGGCUACCUCGACUCCGAUGUGACGGUUCAGUAAGGCACCCCUCCCCUCUGCUCUUGCCCUGCCGCUGCUUUGUGGCAUGGCAUCUUGCCAUGGAUAAUUCUUUGCCGGCCAUUACGACAAUGAUUAAUGCUGCCUUAUCACUUGCCUGAUCCGCCUUUGUGGGCGCUGGCUUGCACCGACAGCCACACCACUCCAUGGUUUGUAUUCCUCACUAUUCUCAUAUGUGCACAGAAAUACUGCUACCUAGGGGUAAUUCAGUCAUCUGGGUGUACGCAUACAAGUGAUUCACCACAUGGCUGUAUGUGUUGAUUCAGGAAAAUGUGUGCGUUCUCUUUUUCUAAAUAGUUCUAUCUUGUGAUACAUUAGAUUUUAAUUUUUCAUGUAGCUAUGUGUGUGUAUAAUUAAUUAAUAUAUCCAUGAAGAUGAUUAGACUGUCAAUUGAAUAAGUUGAUAGUAUCUCUGGAUAUCCUAGCUGUUAGUUUCUGACUAUUUAUAAAAACCAUUCCUUCUAGUAUCAUUUAAUAGGUGACCACUAUUAUGUACAACAUCAUGAUUUUUUUCGAGAAAGAAAACAAAUAUCUUCUUAUCGGUGUUAUGAAACCUUACUGAUUUCCUUGUAAUAAUCUAUGAAUAAGCCCCACAUGCAUCUCUACGUCCUAUUAUUUCUCUUUAUCUUUAUUUCAUAAUCCUUAAUUUCAUCUCUCCUUGCUAGUUCUGAAAUUGACUUCGCAUCAGCCAACAUUUGUCUGUUUAUUCUUUCUCUUAACACGUAAAUCCUCAGGUUCAGAAUGAUGAUACUAGCUAGUGCUUAUGGUAUGACUUAUGAUCCACUGAUUUAGAUAUGUAAAACUUAAAUGUUCUUGCAAGUACUUAUGAAGCGAAUCCAUCAUUCUUUGCAGUGCCAAAAUUUCUUACAUAUUCAUCUUUGGGAGAAAGAUCAAGGCAUAUAGUGGGCUACUUCUGCAAAAGGAGGUGUUUAACUCGUUUAACAUAAGGACGCUCUUUUCAAAAGGCCCUCUUUUCUCCGUCUAUAUAGCAUAGUGCUAUGGCUGGGACUGUAAAAAGUGAUCAAAUUAUGAUAUUUCAUAGCUCUUUAGAGGUGAUGAUAUAUGUUGGAUGACGAAACAAGGAUAUUGUUCUGGUGCUUGCUUCGACUUGGGUGUUCAGAGAAGUGAAACUUUAACUAAUCUGUUCAGGGAAGCAACAUAUUGCAUUUAAAGUGAAGCUUCCUCUAUGAUAUGGAGAUGCAAUCAUCCAUCUAAAGACAAGAUUGCCAAGAUAAAUCGAUGAUGCAUGGCUCAGAAGUUGAUUACAAGAUCGAGAAGGUGGCUACUACUAGAUAGUUUCAGAUUAUGUUUUGGAAUGUAAUUUUUAGGGUCAAUGUUUCAAACACUAUGUGUUUAGAUGGCUGAGUCGUUCAGUGCAAGGUUGAGAAUCAGACUAUUACUAGAUAGUUUCACAUAUUGUAAUCUGUGUAUCAUGUUCUUUGUAAAGCAAUCAAGUUGAUUUAAUAUAUGUGACCUUUCUCAUUGUUA